rnacentral:lncRNA from 1 species
ACCUUGGCAGCAAAUAAGCCUAAAAUGAGAAAGAAGGUGUCCUAUUCUACGCAAACUGUAUGAAAUGGAACCUCUCUUUUGUUCCUCUUUGUCUGCUAGAACCUUCACGACGAAGGAAGAAAGCUACAAGGAAUGAACCCUCUUGUGGAGGCGAGAAAACCUUUCUCUGCGGUGUUGCUGGAUUUGCUCCUGGAAUCAGCGGCCUCUGUAGCUUUCUGCACCAGGUGACUUAAGCAAGACCCAGGACUCUGAACCAGAGCUUCUUCACACGUGAAGGAGCAAGUCUGAAUAGAUGACUUCUAAGUUCUGCAGCUCCAUGCUUUGAGGACCGGACUAAGGAGCCACAUGAAUCAUCUCUAUAUUCAGGUACACCUUACUUUUAAAAAGUCAUUUUUCAAAACUAUAAACUUACAGCUCAGUAAGCAAUCACUAUCUUGC